AAAAAAUAAGAGUUAAUAAAUCACUAUUGGGAAUCUGUUUAGAGAGAGGAAUUUUACACUAUCACACUUGCAACACGUCAUUAAUAACAAGUCAAUCACAUUCCUUCUUUUUAAAUAAAAGUAUAAUAAAAAAAUUUUUUACAAUCAUGAUGGGACAUAUAUUCCUAAAAAAAUAUAUUUGAUUGAUUUGUUACGCCACGUAACCAAUAUAUCCGUUGCAUUCUAGAAUUUUUCGUUUCGAGGGGAUUUGUGAG
rnacentral:lncRNA from 1 species